CAGUCGCCGCGGGAAUACGGAGGGUGCAAGCGUUAAUCGGAAUUACUGGGCGUAAAGCGCACGCAGGCGGUCUGUUAAGUCAGAUGUGAAAUCCCCGGGCUCAACCCGGGAACUGCAUUUGAAACUGGCAGGCUUGAGUCUUGUAGAGGGGGGUAGAAUUCCAGGUGUAGCGGUGAAAUGCGUAGAGAUCUGGAGGAAUACCGGUGGCGAAGGCGGCCCCCUGGACAAAGACUGACGCUCAGGUGCGAAAGCGUGGGGAGCAAACAGGAUUAGAUACCCCAGUAGUCCCUGUCUCUUAUAC
rnacentral:rRNA from 1 species